CAGCGUCAGCUGGGGUUCCCGAAGGUCAGAAAAUAGUUAUUGAUUAAUCUAUUAGAAUAGUUGCCGAGAGAAAUAAAAACGACGUAAAAUAACAGCGAACCUAUAAAUAAAGAGGCUGUAACUAGCAGCUGGGAGUUGUUAAACGACUUAGCAAGUGAAAAAGUCGGAAAUGAGGCGCUGGGGAAGGAGCCGGGACUGGCAGCGGCCUGGGCUUAGGUAAAUCCUCCAAGAUUUGACUUCCCGCGGAAACCAGUAGCAGAGUGGGUGGAGGAGGCGAGGAUGCGGCUGGUACACACCGAGUUUCCCUGGCAAGGAAAAUCGAUGUUUUAGGCCGCCUCACAGCGAGCUGCAAGAGCGGGCCGGCCGUGGCGGGCUCCUUGAACCCAAGUCCUGUCUGUCCGCUAAGUCCUGGGAGGAGAAUUUUGGCCUCACCAGAGGAAGGAGCACAAGGGGAGCGAGCGGUCCGAGAGGAAAUAGUUGGUGAAAUAUUUACAGAAGACGCUGGGAAACCGAUUUAAUUCCUGGUGGACAGUGGUGCUUCUGAUUCCCUCAGUCUGUGUCUCUCACCUACGACGCUCUCAAUCCUUGGCCUAGAAAAAAAAAAUCCGUAAAUUUACUUCAUUAUAGGCAGUGAGACACAUAGAUUGACUUUCAUCUCCAUUAGAUAAUUUCCUGGCUAUAACACUAGUCCAUUGGAUCUCCAUUUCGCAGGACGUUCCUGGUUUGUACUGGGGAUUGGGGGGAGGGGGGCAGUUACUCCAUCCAGAGACAGCCGCGGAACUCCAAAGUUUUUUUUUUGUGUUUAAAUGAUCCUCCCGAUUCCCCUUUGUACCUGACCCUAAAAUGUAUCUCUGAGUUGAUUUCCGCAGCAGCACCUCUUUGUGGCCCCGCAGGUGCGAACCGUUUACAAUGCCAUCUAGACAGCCUUCCGUGAAACCGACGGGAGUGGCGCGAGCUGGCUGCCCCCUGCACCCAGCUGCAACUGUCCGAGCAACGCAAUAAUUACAAAAGAAAGGUUGGAAGGACAAAAAAGAAAAAAGAAAGAAAUCCGAAAUCUGAAAUUCAGAAAUUACUUUUACAUAGCUUCAGUUGUCCAGCUCCAAUGCCAGGCAUGGGCCCCAAGCCCCAUUACAGCCCAAGAAGCUGGGCUCUCGUGGACGCGUGCCGUGUGUGUGUGUGUGUGUGUGUGUGUGUGUGUGUGUGUGUGUGUGUGUGUUUGAGAGAGAGAGAGCGCGUGAGCGUGGGAGUGGGAGUGUAGCGGCUCCGGGGGCUGCCCUCGGCAGCCUUCUUAAAGUAGCCUCCAAAUGAGCCUAAUUUCGAUUCUGCUGUCCGCCAGGGCUGGCUCUCAGGACUCCUCGGCGCGGUUGGUCGCUGCCUCACCCUCCCUCGGCCAAGACCUGGCCUGAUCCAUCCAUUCCCUGGUGUCUCAUUGGAACCUCCCUGGAGGAAGGGGUGGGGGGUGAACAACUCCCAGCCGCCAGUUCCAUUUGUUGCGCUUUUUUCAUUCGACACAAUAAAAGUCAAAUUAAUUGA